GACGAACGCUAGCUACAGGCCUAACACAUGCAAGUCGAGCGGAGACGGCAUGGAGUGCUUGCACUCUUUGGACGUCGAACGGCGCACGGGUGAGUAACGCGUAUUCACUCUUCCCAUUACUGUGGGAUAACCUGCGGAAACGCAGACUAAAAACGCAUAAUCAUCGAUGGCGGCACCAGUUUUGAAGGAAAGUUGUUUAGGUAAAGGGUGGGGCUGGGUCUGAUUAUCUUGUUGGCGGGGGAACGGCCCACAAAGGCUACGAUCAGUAGGGGUUGUGAGAGGAAGGUCCCCGACAUUGGAACAGGGACACGGUCCAAACGCCUGCGAGAGGCAGCAAUGAGGAAUAUUGGGCAGGGGACGGAAGUCUGAACCAGCGAAGGAGCGUGCAAGGUUACCGCCCUGUGGGUUGUAAACUGCUUUUGGGUGGGGAUAAGGUUAGGGACGGGUCCCUAUUUGCCGGUACCAUACGAAUAAGGACCGGCUAACUCCGUG
rnacentral:rRNA from 1 species